UACGUAGGGGGCAAGCGUUGUCCGGAUUUAUUGGGCGUAAAGAGCGUGUAGGCGGUUUGGUAGGUCCGCUGUGAAAACUCGAGGCUCAACCUCGAGACGCCGGUGGAAACCAUCAGACUAGAGUCCGGAAGAGGAGAGUGGAAUUCCUGGUGUAGCGGUGAAAUUCGUAGAUAUUGGGAAGAACACCGGUGGCGAAGGCGGCUCACUGGCUCAUUACUGACGCUCAGGCGCGAUAGCGUGGGGAUCAAACAGG
rnacentral:rRNA from 1 species